UGGGGAAUUUUGGACAAUGGGGGAAACCCUGAUCCAGCAAUGCCGCGUGUGCGAAGAAGGCCUUCGGGUUGUAAAGCACUUUUGGCGGGGGCGAAACGGCUUGAGCUAAUACCUUGAGCUAAUGACGGUACCCGCAGAAUAAGCACCGGCUAACUACGUGCCAGCAGCCGCGGUAAUACGUAGGGUGCAAGCGUUAAUCGGAAUUACUGGGCGUAAAGCGAGCGCAGGCGGUUAUGUAAGACAGAUGUGAAAUCCCCGGGCUUAACCUGGGAACUGCAUUUGUGACUGCAUGGCUAGAGUGUGUCAGAGGGGGGUGGAACUCCACGUGUAGCAGUGAAAUGCGUAGAUAUGUGGAAGAACACCGAUGGCGAAGGCAGCCCCCUGGGAUAACACUGACGCU
rnacentral:rRNA from 1 species